rnacentral:rRNA from 1 species
UACGUAGGGGGCAAGCGUUGUCCGGAAUUAUUGGGCGUAAAGAGCGUGUAGGCGGCCAGAUAAGUCCGCUGUGAAAUCUCGAGGCUCAACUUCGAGCUGUCGGUGGAAACUAUCUGGCUAGAGUCCGGAAGAGGAGAAUGGAAUUCCCGGUGUAGCGGUGAAAUGCGCAGAUAUCGGGAAGAACACCCGUGGCGAAGGCGGCUCUCUGGGACGGUACUGACGCUGAGACGCGAAAGCGUGGGGAGCGAACAGG